CCUACGGGGGGCAGCAGUGAGGAAUAUUGGUCAAUGGACGAGAGUCUGAACCAGCCAAGUAGCGUGAAGGAUUACUGCCCUAUGGGUUGUAAACUUCUUUUAUAUGGGAAUAAAAUGUUCCACGUGUGGGAUUUUGUAUGUACCCUAUGAAUAAGGAUCGGCUAACUCCGUGCCAGCAGCCGAGGUAAUACGGAGGAUCCGAGCGUUAUCCGGAUUUAUUGGGUUUAAAGGGCGCGUAGGUGGAUUGUUAAGUCAGUUGUGAAAGUUUGCGGCUCAACCGUAAAAUUGCAGUUGAAACUGGCAGUCUGGAGUACAGUAGAGGUGGGCGGAAUUCGUGGUGUAGCGGUGAAAUGCUUAGAUAUCGCGAAGAACUCCGAUUGCGAAGGCAGCUCACUGGACUGCAACUGACACUGAGGCUCGAAAGUGUGGGUAUCAAACAGGAUUAGAUACCCCAGUAGUC
rnacentral:rRNA from 1 species